rnacentral:pre_miRNA from 1 species
AGUCCAGGGGAAACACUUCCACCGCACGAGCUAGGUUACGGAAACCAGUGUUCGGGAAGGCUUCUGCUACAUU